CAGUAGCAAAUUACAACCGGAAGCACUCCUGUCCCUGGGGAAGAGUAUAAUAAGACACAACCCAGGGCUUCUGUUCAAAUCCAUACACACAUCUACGUAUUCUGUUUUCUAGGUUAAUGUUUCCUGCGGUCGGAGGUUGCAGAUGUCAAGGAUUAAGAGCAAUUUUAGGAGGCAAGAGUUUCCAGCUGGGAAAUUUUCCAUGAACUUGAUAUUUUUAUAAGGCGCCUCUGUUCAGCUCUCUGGGUGCUACAUACUUCCACUUUUAUUUGCUAAAUGAGAAACCUGAGGCCCAGAAGGGGGAUGUCGCUUGCCCCAGGGCCCUUGGCUGAUCAGUGGUUGGCUUGGGGGCUCCCGUGACCGUACUAAAGGCGCGCCUACCGCAGGCAGUACCACCCUCCGCCACCAGGUGUCAGGCUCGAACACCUCUUGUCCUGGGCGUGGGCGCUUGAUUUUUGCCCUGCGCUGUUUGUCUUCAGGCGUCUUUCCUCCCUUUUCAGACUAUCAACCCAUCUCAAAUCCCUUCUCCCCUACCUUGGCCAUUGCGCCUCUCUCAUCGCCCAUCUGCAAAAGGAUGUGGAGAGGCCGCGCGUCCUGUGGCGUGCCCUGCCGCUGACACAGCCCGCCCCUCGUAUCCUACCUCAGCCCAACCUGCACGCUGCAAAGUGUCUUCCCAACUUCGCCCCUGGCUGCCCUUGCCCAUUGAAAACUGGCUAAGAAUUAACAGGUGGGCCUACCAGGCUUGGUCCUGUGCUAAAGGCAGUGUGCCUUCUAUACCUGUAUAUACACUGCAUAUGGUCACAGCCCCAUCAGAAAGGCAUUCUAACUGGACCCAUUUUACAGAUGCAGACACUGAGGCAUAGGGGAGGUUGAAAGCUUUAUGAAGACUGGAAUUUUUGUAUUAUACAUUGUUAAAUCUAAAUUACCAAAACAGUGCCUGGCAUGGAAUAAGCGCUUAAUAAACAUUUAUUGAACAAAUAAAAUAUUAAAUA